CGGCGGACGGGUGAGUAACACGUGGAUAACCUACCUAUAAGACUGGGAUAACUUCGGGAAACCGGAGCUAAUACCGGAUAAUAUAUUGAACCGCAUGGUUCAAUAGUGAAAGACGGUUUUGCUGUCACUUAUAGAUGGAUCCGCGCCGCAUUAGCUAGUUGGUAAGGUAACGGCUUACAAAGGCAACGAUGCGUAGCCGACCUGAGAGGGUGAUCGGCCACACUGGAACUGAGACACGGUCCAGACUCCUACGGGAGGCAGCAGGU
rnacentral:rRNA from 1 species